rnacentral:misc_RNA from 1 species
CUGGAUUCGACGGGAUUUGCGAAACCCAAGGUGCAUGCCGAGGGGCGGUUGGCCUCGUAAAAAGCCGCAAAAAAUAGUCGCAAACGACGAAAACUACGCUUUAGCAGCUUAAUAACCUGCUUAGAGCCCUCUCUCCCUAGCCUCCGCUCUUAGGACGGGGAUCAAGAGAGGUCAAACCCAAAAGAGAUCGCGUGGAAGCCCUGCCUGGGGUUGAAGCGUUAAAACUUAAUCAGGCUAGUUUGUUAGUGGCGUGUCCGUCCGCAGCUGGCAAGCGAAUGUAAAGACUGA